AGAUAAUUAUUUACGCUAUUUCUGCUGGACUUACUAAUGCUCUUUUGUUUUUGUUUUUCCUUUUCUUCACUGAGCCGAUGGUCGAUUGGAAACAACAUCUAUGCCCUUUCGGGUAGGGGUAAGGCUCGUCUACAUAUUACCCUCCUCAGACCCCACUUUGUGGGACUAUACUGGAUAGUUGUUGUUGUUGUUGUACGUCAUAUUAAUUUUCAUCCCAAAAGAAAAUAUAUUAUCAUAAUAGUUAAUUAUUUUCAAACAAGGGAAAGAUAAAAAGGAGGGAAGUUUAUGAAUUCAACAUUCGCCUUGGAUUAGGGCCUAACUCAAAUAUUCGCGUAAGGUAAUGUAAUACAAAUUCAGGAGAGAGGAAUAUUGGUAGUUAUUCGCGUAAGAAAUAUUUCUAGUUUUUUUACACUGUGUUUGGAUCAUUGUUACCCAUAGUUUUAUAAAGUAUCGAAUUGUAUUGUAGUGUAUGAUAUUGUAUUGUAUCAUUUUAUGAAAACAAUGUUUGAAUAUACUGUAUUAUUUGUUGCUGCCAAAUAAUAUUUUGAUGUUUGGUUUGAUUGUAUCGUACGAUAACUAAUAGAUUUACUAAAAUACCCUCAAUUGUUUUAAAUAUUAUCAAAAUUACAUUUAGAGUGAUUAAAAUUGGAUUAAAAAUCAAUAUUAUAUUGCUAAUUGGAAAUAAAGUAAUUAGAAUUAAAGUUAAAAUCAAAGUAAAAUAAAGAACAAAACAAAAAGAAGGCAAAACCUAUACAUGAUGUUGGAGUUGGAAGCGACAGAAAGAAAAAAGGAAUGAAAACAUAGGUUAUAGGUUAGGAGAUUUGGAUUAAAAUUAAAAAAAAAAAGUAAAAUAGAAUUAUAAAGUAAUAAGUUAAGGCAUAAUUGAAAAGAAAAAUAGUAGCAAUUCCACCAUAUAAAAUUAGUUGUUUCAAAAAUGUGACUUUUCAUUGUUUCGGAACAACAGAUUUAAACAAUUUUUAGAUGUUGGGAGUGUUUGAAAAAACAGAAAACAACUUAAAAAAGUCGCAAUUUGGCUGAUCCCAACUUUUUUUUAGCUUAAAAGCCAAUUAUCUUUGACCAAAUAUUUUACCCUCUUAUCCCUAAUAAUAUUUAUUAUUCCAAAAAUAUCCUUCACAACAAAAUCCCGAUUUAACUCUAUUUCCGGUUAUCUAUUCAUGCGAUUUCCUACCUUAUUUCUUCAUUUUGCUCUUUUUCUUUCUGGUUCUUCUUCAGUUGGUAAUACUUGAUUUGAUUCACAUUUUGAGUUUUUACUUCAUUAUUUUUAUCCAACUCCACUCAUUUAGCUGGGAUUAUCUAAAGUGUUUCCCAACUUUUUUCUUUUCAUUUCAUAUUAUUUUCUUAUAUCAAUAAUCACACAAUUUAUAUGUUUCCGAGAAAGCUUGGAACUUCAAGAAAUAAAUAAAAAUUUUACAUUAUUGAAAGAAGUGAAAAAUAAGAGUUCAACAAUUAUAUUUAUAAAAAUUAUCUUAGGUGACCAGUUUAAAUAUUAAUUAUUUUAUAUUUAUAUUAAUAAGUUUAAAAUAAAAUAUUGUAGUAAUAAACUUUUUUAUAGUGUUAACAAUUUUAGGGAUAUUUCAGUCAUUUAAAUUGAAAAAGUGCUUACCAAUACUUGUUUACCAAACAUUUCAACAACUUUUUUUCAGCUUAAGCACUUUUAUCCAAACAAUAAUUGCUUAUUUAUAAAAUCAGCUCCAGCGCUUACAAAGUGCUUUUAAGCACUUGUGCUUAAAAGCUACUUUGUUAAAUCAAUCCAAAUAGGCUCUUAACAAUAUAAUAUAAUCAAUUUUAACUAAAUAAUCGAUACAAAUAAUAUUUUGUGAUAACAAUACAGUACGAUACCAUGACCGACAACCAUGCAAACAAGUUGUAAGGUCUUUAUCAACACAAUACAUUAUAUAAGCGAUAGCUGUUUAUAUAAGUAUAAAGUUUGAGUUCACAAUCUAAUGAUGGAAUUGAACAAACCAUUAGGAAUGAUUGUAGCACAAGAUUAAAUAUAAUUUAUCUUCAGUAUGGGAAUGAUUUAAUUCCAGCUUCUUGUGCUAGUAUAUUUUAUAUGUAUUGAACGACCAGGUAGAGAUAAGUAUUUUAUACUGACUUAAUAAAAUAAACUCUCUAGCCAUUAAAUGUNNNNNNNNNNNNNNNNNNNNNNNNNNNNNNNNNNNNNNNNNNNNNNNNNNNNNNNNNNNNNNNNNNNNNNNNNNNNNNNNNNNNNNNNNNNNNNNNNNNNAUUAGCUGUGUAUAGUAUUAUUGUUUUGAUUUAUUAAAAGGCGAGAUUCUUUCGUGGGUCAAUAUGCCUGGUAAAUUGGAUAAUAAUAAUGCACAUUGGCGAAGUAAUAGUUAGUUGACGGAAUCCAUGUCUCGGUUUAGAGAUUGAUGAUACACCUUUAUGAAAGCUGAUAACUUUUCAUGUGUAAGCCCGACCGGUGGAUUUUGUAUCCAACACAUGAAAUAAGUUAAGCGAAAGUCUAAAGAAAAUAAUUAAUAAAUUAAAUCGUCAGUAAUUUAAUUUAUUUGAUUAGUAUCUGAGUCUUAAUAUGGGGAGUUAAAUAAGAUUUAAUGGAUGAAUUUCGAAAUUGGAUAAGGAGUGCAAUUAUAAAUUUUUAGUGGAAUAAUUCAUAAUUAAUUAUGGUAGAUAUUAAUUUCGAAAAUUAUAAAUUAAUUUCAUAAUUGGAAGCCUUGUUAAUUAAAUUAUGUGGUCCCUAUUGUGCCUAAAUAAUUGGAAAUAAAGGAAUCCCUUUUCUAGUGGAAAAGAAAACUCAACAGGUUUUGGAAAAAAGACUUAACCCUUAAAACUUGUGCAGGGUUGCCACCUAGAAGGAAAAAGAUAUGGUGGCUGAAAUUUUCAGUCGAGUUUUCCUAGAAAUUUUGCCAACGCGAAAUUGAUAUUUUCGGUAUUAUUUGGGUAACACAGUAGAAGACCGUGGAACGUUCGAGGAUCACGAUUGUACGAGUGAUGGAGAUUCCAUUGAGAAGUUAUGGAACUGAAGUCUCACGUGGUAGAAGAGAUAUGUUCACGCUUCAAGAGGUAACCCAUGAAAUCUCGUUUAUGCUAGUUGUCUGGAUUAAAUGUGAUUUUGAUACUGGGAUUGCUUCCGAUAAUCCAUCAAUUGGUAUCAGAGCCCACUCACAUCUAACUAGAUAACUAAGUUUUUCAUGAAACAAGAAUAUGGUGUUUAUGUGCGUUUUUUGAAUUACAUAUAUAUGUGAUUUUCUGAAAAAUUGCACUGCUGUUUUGUGAAUUAACUAUGCAAUUUUGGAUAAUUCUUGUAAUCAUGAGAUAUCUGUGUUCUUAUUGAUAUUUGAUUGAGAUUAUCUAAAUUUUUUGGGGUAAAACCUAGAAAAAUGCAAAACCUGCUUUUGACCGAAUAGCCGGUAUUUUCGGAGGUCAGCUAACUUGACAAACUCCGAUUGAGCUGAAAUUUGGUGGGUCCAUCUGAAACGACGCGGUGAGAAAAACUCACUAAUAUGGCAGUGAACCAUGGUAUUUAAGGCGCUUUGAGGUCGUUUGGACUGUGUUUUGGAUAUUUUUCUAUUUUUUGAAAAUUAUUUCUUAAUAAUUUAAUUGUUUUUUAAUUUAAUGGUGGUGGGGUGACUCCCGAUGGUCCCCAUGAUUAAAUACUAGUGGUAUAAUAGGUUUACACAUUGGCUAUUAGCGAAUAGACGUGUUGUGUAUUAAAUUCAAUAAUAAAUGUGUAGGAUUUUAAUUUACUAGGUCUUACAAGGUAUAAUUGAUAUUCUGUGAUGAUAUAAUUAUUUUGUAAGAAAGUAAAAUUCUCUAUUUGAUAUCCUGGAUGACUAAUGAUUGGAGUGUUUGGCAUAUUUGUGCAUAAAAAAAUUCUCAAAUUUAAGUUUAUGUUUUCAUGCCCUACGUGAUUACUAGUUUGGAUUUGUGCAUAAAAAAAUAAUCUCAAAUUUAAGUUUAUGUUUUCAUGCACUACGUGAUUACUAGUUUGGAUUUUCGAUGAAGAAUUUUGUUCUCUGAUUGGAGGUUCUAAUUAAGUGUAUGACGGUAUUUUUUAUUAAGUUUUAUAUUGUUGGUAUGGCUUUUUAAGCUAUAGUCUACCAUAAAAUAAUUUUAUGAGCUAAAUAUAUAUUCACUUAUAAAUUGAGAAUUUUAUGAGAAAUAAAUAGUUACCGCUGAAGUGGUUUGUUUAUUUAAACUCAUGAAAAAUUCUUAGUAAAUUUGCACAGUGAAAUUAUAUCUAUUCAUGGAUUGAGCAUUAUGAUUAAUAAGUAGGAUCCACAAAAUGGUCUAUUUAUUUGAGUCAUUGAAAUAUAUUUAAUAUACCNNNNNNNNNNNNNNNNNNNNNNNNNNNNNNNNNNNNNNNNNNNNNNNNNNNAUGUUUAAUAUACCAUGUGAAAAUUAUCCUUGAGAAAUCUACAUUAAUGGUGGAGGUUAUUAACUAGAAAAAAAGUUUUAUCUUUGGGUACUAGUGAAACUAACUCCACCCAUGAGAAGAAACAUUGGGGUUUUCACCGAACGGAAGAAAAUAUUAUAUCUCAGGUUCUUAUGUGUUUAAUAAAAGGAUAAUUUAUUGCAAAAUGAGAUAUUAUAUAUCCUAGAAAUAGGAAGAACAUAAUAUAUGCCUUGAGAUCAUAGUGUAAUUAUAAGGAGGAUGAAAAUCAAUAUCAUAUUUAUUUUAAUUCAUGAGACUACUUAACAUCGUUAUUCUUCGAGUUUGGUUGCAGGCUGGUGGUCAUGAAUUUGACAGACUUCGAUUGACCUGAAACUUGGUGGGUUCAUCGAAAAUGAUCUAAUGAGAAAAACUCAUUGCUAUGCAGUGAAUCAUGUUAAUUUUUGGCAUUUUGAGGUCGUUUAGAUGGGUUUUCAACUAGUUUAUUAAAUUGAAUUUUUUAUAAAUAUGAAAAAUUAUUCUUUAUAUAUAGGCUAUAUUUGUGUUAAAUCUGAAACAUGUGAUUUAACUUGAUAUGAUAUAUACGAAGAAUGCAAAUCACAUG
rnacentral:lncRNA from 1 species